GAGGGGAUAGCUCAGUGGUAGAGUGCAUGCUUAAUAUGCAUGAAGUCCUUGGAGUGCAUGCUUAAUAUGCACGAGCUCCUUGGUUCAAUCCCUUGUUCCUCCG
rnacentral:tRNA from 1 species